UGCGUAGGCUGCCUAUUAAGUUGGAUGUGAAAGCCCUCGGCUUAACCGAGGAACUGCGUCCAAAACUGGUGGGCUUGGGGUUGGUAGGGGACAGUGGAACUCCAGGUGGAGCGGUGAAAUGCGUAGAGAUCUGGAGGAACUCCGGUGGCGAAAGCGACUGUCUGGGCCAUACCCGACGCUGAGGCACGAAAGCCAGGGGAGCAAACGGGAUUAGAUACCCCGGUAGUCCUGGCCGUAAACGAUGGACACUAGCUUGGGGAGCCUUCGGGCCUCCCUUGCGAAGCUAACGCGUUAAGUGUCCCGCCUGGGGAGUAUGCGCGCAAGCGUAAA
rnacentral:rRNA from 1 species